UUCCUAGCUCAGUUGGUAGAGCAGGAGAUUCUUAAUCUCAAGGUCAUGGGUUCAAGCCCCAUGAUGGUCAAAA